UAGAGAUUAGUUUGAUCCUGGCUCAGAUUGAACGCUGGCGGCAUGCCUUACACAUGCAAGUCGAACGGCAGCACGGGGGCAACCCUGGUGGCGAGUGGCGAACGGGUGAGUAAUACAUCGGAACGUGUCCUGUAGUGGGGGAUAGCCCGGCGAAAGCCGGAUUAAUACCGCAUACGCUCUACGGAGGAAAGGGGGGGAUCUUAGGACCUCCCGCUACAGGGGCGGCCGAUGGCAGAUUAGCUAGUUGGUGGGGUAAAGGCCUACCAAGGCGACGAUCUGUAGCUGGUCUGAGAGGACGACCAGCCACACUGGGACUGAGACACGGCCCAGACUCCUACGGGAGGCAGCAGUGGGGAAUUUUGGACAAUGGGGGCAACCCUGAUCCAGCAAUGCCGCGUGUGUGAAGAAGGCCUUCGGGUUGUAAAGCACUUUUGUCCGGAAAGAAAACGCCGUGGUUAAUACCCGUGGCGGAUGACGGUACCGGAAGAAUAAGCACCGGCUAACUACGUGCCAGCAGCCGCGGUAAUACGUAGGGUGCAAGCGUUAAUCGGAAUUACUGGGCGUAAAGCGUGCGCAGGCGGUUCGCUAAGACAGAUGUGAAAUCCCCGGGCUUAACCUGGGAACUGCAUUUGUGACUGGCGGGCUAGAGUAUGGCAGAGGGGGGUAGAAUUCCACGUGUAGCAGUGAAAUGCGUAGAGAUGUGGAGGAAUACCGAUGGCGAAGGCAGCCCCCUGGGCCAAUACUGACGCUC
rnacentral:rRNA from 1 species